GAUGAAGAACGCAGCGAAAUGCGAUACGUAAUGUGAAUUGCAGAAUUCAGUGAAUCAUCGAGUCUUUGAACGCACAUUGCGCCCCCUGGUAUUCCGGGGGGCAUGCCUGUCCGAGCGUCAUUGCUGCCCUCAAGCACGGCUUGUGUGUUGGGCCUCCGUCCUCCUCCCGGGGGACGGGCCCGAAAGGCAGCGGCGGCACCGCGUCCGGUCCUCGAGCGUAUGGGGCUUCGUCACCCGCUCUUGUAGGCCCGGCCGGCGCUUGCCGACACAUCAAUCUUUUUUCCAGGUUGACCUCGGAUCAGGUAGGGAUACCCGCUGAACUUAAACAUAUCAAUAAGCGGAGGA
rnacentral:misc_RNA from 1 species